AGCGAGGUCGGAGUGAAAAUGACCAAGUCCAACCGCAAGAAAAAAUAUAUAAACAUCUAACUGGGAAGGCUACUGGCUCGGUCAAACUACAUCCUCCAUGACUUUUAUCAAUCCCCCAGAGAUUUAUAACAUCCGGGGAUCCAUUCCAGAGCAGCGAAAAUUUCAACACAAAUAUCAUUUUUAUUACUUGUUAUCAUGUAUUAUUCAUAUAGUUAUGUAAGAGAUCAUGAAUAAAUGUUAUGCUCUUUGUAUA